GCGCGCUUGGUGUAACGGUAGCACGCGGCACUGAAAUCCUUUAACGCCGAGUCUGGGGUUCGACUCCCCAAGCACGCC